CAUACCUGAUCCGUUCCACGUUUGUUCUUGGUUAUUCCCAAUACUGAUGCUGUUGGUUUUUGUUUUUAUUUCUGUUUUUAUUCUCCCUUUUCUCUCCACCAAAUGCUGCUUCUUAACACUAUGCUCUUCCCAAACUUGCACAAUACUGGCUCCGUAAGCUUUCAUAAUAAUAAUACGCAUUGAGCCACUUUCACCCCCCUCCUAACAACCAGAGUGCGUUACACAGCUCGAAAUAUACCGCACACUACCUGCUGCACUCUUAGCUAGCAACUUAGUUGACCACACCCAGCUAAGACACACAUACCUACCCAAGCUCACCUAACUAAGG